GCGAGGCAAAGAAGGUCGGGGGAGCUGCGGUUGCUAGGGUAACGGAGGAGGCUGUAGGCUUUCUGCCCAAGAUGGAGGUGGAGGAGAUGAACACAGAUUGGGAAAUACUGUACCCGAGAAUACCAGCUGCGGUACACUGAAGCAGAAGUGGUGCCAGCAAACUCACCUGGAGGGACUACCUGGCUUCGUGUUUACAGCAGGCAGGAAGUCACCAGACAUUCCCUUUGUUGGGAAUACGGGAGGAAACCGGAGCAGCUGUGGGGCUGUAACCCAAGUGUGAUGCAGAAUCCAUACACUUCAUGCCCGGCUGGGCCUGUCCCAGCUGCUCCGGACUCCGUGUCUGCGAUCUCUGUGACGAUUCGCUCUGCUGUGUGACGAACUGAGGCUUCCUGUCUAUGAACUCACUUUUGGUCCGAAUGCUGUUUCUUACUUUCACUGUUUGACGAUUUGUGUUUUCUCUCUCUCUGUGCACGUUGGGUGUUUGUUGGUCUUUACGUUCUAAUGGGUUCUUCUGGGUUUCUUUGUUUCAUGGCUGCCUGUAAGCAGGAUGAACAUCAGAGUUGUAUAACGUACACAUACGCUGAUAAUAAAUGAACUUUGAACACG